rnacentral:rRNA from 1 species
GACGAACGCUGGCGGCGUGCCUAAUACAUGCAAGUAGAACGCUGAAGAGAGGAGCUUGCUCUUCUUGGAUGAGUUGCGAACGGGUGAGUAACGCGUAGGUAACCUGCCUUGUAGCGGGGGAUAACUAUUGGAAACGAUAGCUAAUACCGCAUAACAAUGGAUGACACAUGUCAUUUAUUUGAAAGGGGCAAUUGCUCCACUACAAGAUGGACCUGCGUUGUAUUAGCUAGUAGGUGAGGUAAUGGCUCACCUAGGCGACGAUACAUAGCCGACCUGAGAGGGUGAUCGGUCACACUGGGACUGAGACACGGCCCAGACUCCUACGGGAGGCAGCAGUAGGGAAUCUUCGGCAAUGGGGGCAACCCUGACCGAGCAACGCCGCGUGAGUGAAGAAGGUUUUCGGAUCGUAAAGCUCUGUUGUAAGUCAAGAACGGGUGUGAGAGUGGGAAGUUCACACUGUGACGGUAGCUUACCAGAAAGGGACGGCUAACUACGUG